GGGAAUGGUGCCAGGGUCCUAUACAUGUCAAGUCGAGCGGGGGGAGGUAGCUUGCUACCGGACCUAGCGGCGGACGGGUGAGUAAUGCUUAGGAAUCUGCCUAUUAGUGGGGGACAACAUCUCGAAAGGGAUGCUAAUACCGCAUACGUCCUACGGGAGAAAGCAGGGGAUCUUCGGACCUUGCGCUAAUAGAUGAGCCUAAGUCGGAUUAUCUAGUUGGUGGGGUAAAGGCCUACCAAGGCAACGAUCUGUUGCGGGUCUGAUAUGAUGAUCCUCCACUCUGGGACUGAGUACUCUUCCCAGAACUCAUACCGCAGGCAGACUCGGGGAAUAUUCGACCAUGGGGGAGAUUCCUGAUCCAAACAUCCCUCGUGUGUGAAAACGGCCUUAUGGUCGUUAAGCGUUUUGGAUAGGAUC
rnacentral:rRNA from 1 species